AUUAACGCGAAGAACCUUACCUGGGCUUGACAUGCAGGGUGAAACCCGUGAAGGCCGGCGCUCUACGGAGCCUGCACAGGUGGUGCAUGGCUGUCGUCAGCUCGUGCCGUGAGGUGUUGCCUUAAGUGGCGCAACGAGCGCAACCCUUGUCCCUAGUUGCCAGCGGGUUAUGCCGGGAACCCUAGGGAGACUGCCGGUGCCAAACCGGAGGAAGGUGGGGAUGACGUCAAGUCAUCAUGCCCCUUAUGUCCAGGGCUGCACGCAUGCUACAAUGCGCGGUACAAAGGGCUGCGAUCCCGUGAGGGGGAGCGAGUCCCAAAAAGCCGCGCUCAGUUCGGAUCGGGGUCUGCAACCCGACCCCGUGAAGUCGGAGUCGCUAGUAAUCGCAGAUCAGCAACGCUGCGGUGAAUACGUUCCCGGGCCUUGUACACACCGAAUCU
rnacentral:rRNA from 1 species